rnacentral:rRNA from 1 species
AUUGAACGCUGGCGGCAUGCUUUACACAUGCAAGUCGAACGGUAACAGGCCGCAAGGUGCUGACGAGUGGCGCACGGGUGAGUAAUGCAUCGGAACGUGCCCAGUCGUGGGGGAUAACUACUCGAAAGAGUAGCUAAUACCGCAUACGAUCUAUGGAUGAAAGCGGGGGACCGUAAGGCCUCGCGCGAUUGGAGCGGCCGAUGUCAGAUUAGGUAGUUGGUGGGGUAAAGGCUCACCAAUCCAACGAUCUGUAGCUGGUCUGAGAGGACGACCAGCCACACUGGGACUGAGACACGGCCCAGACUCCUACGGGAGGCAGCAGUGGGGAAUUUUGGACAGUGGGCGCAAGCCUGAUCCAGCAAUGCCGCGUGCAGGAAGAAGGCCUUCGGGUUGUAAACUGCUUUUGUACGGAACGAAACGGCUCUGGUUAAUACCCGGGGCUAAUGACGGUACCGUAAGAAUAAGCACCGGCUAACUACGU